rnacentral:misc_RNA from 1 species
AUGCGAUAAGUAAUGUGAAUUGCAGAAUUCAGUGAAUCAUCGAAUCUUUGAACGCACAUUGCGCCCACUAGUAUUCUGGUGGGCAUGCCUGUUCGAGCGUCAUUUCAACCCUCAAGCCUUAGUUGCUUGGUGUUGGGAGCUUAUCUUGCCGAAAGGCGGACAACUCCUUAAAACUAUUGGCGGAGUCGCGGUGACCCCAAGCGUAGUAAAUUUUCUUUUUCUCGCUUUAGGUGUUAGCGCUAUCUUCUAGCCGUUAAACCCCCUAAAUCUUUUAGUGGUUGACCUCGGAUCAGGUAGGACUACCCGCUGAACUUAA